AUGAACGCUGGCGGCGUGCCUAAUACAUGCAAGUCGAGCGAACGGACGAGAAGCUUGCUUUUCUGAUGUUAGCGGCGGACGGGUGAGUAACACGUGGAUAACCUACCUAUAAGACUGGGAUAACUUCGGGAAACCGGAGCUAAUACCGGAUAAUAUUUUGAACCGCAUGGUUCAAAAGUGAAAGACGGUCUUGCUGUCACUUAUAGAUGGAUCCGCGCUGCAUUAGCUAGUUGGUAAGGUAACGGCUUACCAAGGCAACGAUGCAUAGCCGACCUGAGAGGGGGAACGGCCACACUGGAAAUGAGACACGGUCCAGACUCCUACGGGAGGCAGCAGUAGGGAAUCUACCGCAAUGGGCGAAAGCCUGACGGAGCAACGCCGCGUGAGUGAUGAAGGUCUGCGGAUCGUAAAACUCUGUUAUUAGGGAAGAACAUAUGUGUAAGUAACUGUGCACAUCUUGACGGUACCUAAUCAGAAAGCCACGGCUAACUACGU
rnacentral:rRNA from 1 species